rnacentral:tRNA from 1 species
GCCAAGGUAGCUCAGCCGGUAGAGCGCCGCGUUGAAGGCGCGGGCGUCGGUGGUUCGACCCCAUCCCUUGGCACCA